rnacentral:rRNA from 1 species
GAUUAAGUUAUUAAGGGCGCACGGUGGAUGCCUUGGCACUAGAAGCCGAUGAAGGACGUUACUAACGACGAUAUGCUUUGGGGAGCUGUAAGUAAGCUUUGAUCCAGAGAUUUCCGAAUGGGGAAACCCAGCAUGAGUUAUGUCAUGUUAUCGAUAUGUGAAUACAUAGCAUAUCAGAAGGCACACCCGGAGAACUGAAACAUCUUAGUACCCGGAGGAAGAGAAAGAAAAUUCGAUUCCCUUAGUAGCGGCGAGCGAAACGGGAAGAGCCCAAACCAACAAGCUUGCUUGUUGGGGUUGUAGGACACUCUAUACGGAGUUACAAAGGACGACAUUAGACGAAUCAUCUGGAAAGAUGAAUCAAAGAAGGUAAUAAUCCUGUAGUCGAAAAUGUUGUCUCUCUUGAGUGGAUCCUGAGUACGACGGAGCACGUGAAAUUCCGUCGGAAUCUGGGAGGACCAUCUCCUAAGGCUAAAUACUCUCUAGUGACCGAUAGUGAACCAGUACCGUGAGGGAAAGGUGAAAAGCACCCCGGAAGGGGAGUGAAAUAGAACCUGAAACCGUGUGCUUACAAGUAGUCAGAGCCCGUUAAUGGGUGAUGGCGUGCCUUUUGUAGAAUGAACCGGCGAGUUACGAUUUGAUGCAAGGUUAAGCAGUAAAUGUGGAGCCGUAGCGAAAGCGAGUCUGAAUAGGGCGUUUAGUAUUUGGUCGUAGACCCGAAACCAGGUGAUCUACCCUUGGUCAGGUUGAAGUUCAGGUAACACUGAAUGGAGGACCGAACCGACUUACGUUGAAAAGUGAGCGGAUGAACUGAGGGUAGCGGAGAAAUUCCAAUCGAACCUGGAGAUAGCUGGUUCUCUCCGAAAU